GAUGAACGCUGGCGGCGUGCCUAAUACAUGCAAGUCGAGCGAACGGACGAGAAGCUUGCUUCUCUGAUGUUAGCGGCGGACGGGUGAGUAACACGUGGAUAACCUACCUAUAAGACUGGGAUAACUUCGGGAAACCGGAGCUAAUACCGGAUAAUAUUUUGAACCGCAUGGUUCAAAAGUGAAAGACGGUCUUGCUGUCACUUAUAGAUGGAUCCGCGCUGCAUUAGCUAGUUGGUAAGGUAACGGCUUACCAAGGCAACGUUGCAUAGCCGACCUGAGAGGGUGAUCGGCCACACUGUAACGGAGACACGGUCCAGACUCCUACGUGAGGCCGCAGUAGGGAAUCUUCCGCAAUGGGCGAAAGCCUGACGGAGCAACGCCGCGUGAGUGAUGAAGGUCUUCGGAUCGUAAAACUCUGUUAUUAGGGAAGAACAUAUGUGUAAGUAACUGUGCACAUCUUGACGGUACCUAAUCAGAAAGCCACGGCUAACUACGUG
rnacentral:rRNA from 1 species